UACAGAGGUCCCAAGCGUUGUUCGGAUUCACUGGGCGUAAAGGGCGCGUAGGUGGCGAAGUAAGUCGGAUGUGAAAUCUCCGAGCUCAACUCGGAAAUGGCAUUGGAAACUACUUUGCUCGAGGGUCGGAGGGGGGACUGGAAUUCUCGGUGUAGCAGUGAAAUGCGUAGAUAUCGAGAGGAACACCAGUGGCGAAGGCGAGUCCCUGGACGACUCCUGACACUGAGGCACGAAAGCUAGGGGAGCAAACAGG
rnacentral:rRNA from 1 species